rnacentral:rRNA from 1 species
UGAACGCUGGCGGCAUGCCUUAUACAUGCAAGUCGAACGGCAGCGCGGGGCAACCUGGCGGCGAGUGGCGAACGGGUGAGUAAUAUAUCGGAACGUGCCCUGGAGUGGGGGAUAACGCAGCGAAAGUUGCGCUAAUACCGCAUACGAUCUAAGGAUGAAAGCGGGGGAUUCGCAAGAACCUCGUGCUCCUGGAGCGGCCGAUAUCUGAUUAGCUAGUUGGUGGGGUAAAGGCCUACCAAGGCAUCGAUCAGUAGCUGGUCUGAGAGGACGACCAGCCACACUGGAACUGAGACACGGUCCAGACUCCUACGGGAGGCAGCAGUGGGGAAUUUUGGACAAUGGGCGAAAGCCUGAUCCAGCAAUGCCGCGUGAGUGAAGAAGGCCUUCGGGUUGUAAAGCUCUUUUGUCAGGGAAGAAACGGUAUGGGCUAAUAUCCCGUACUAAUGACGGUACCUGAAGAAUAAGCACCGGCUAACUACGUGCCAGCAGCCGCGGUAAUACGUAGGGUGCAAGCGUUAAUCGGAAUUACUGGGCGUAAAGCGUGCGCAGGCGGUUUUGUAAGUUUGUCGUGAAAGCCCCGGGCUCAACCUGGGAAUUGCGAUGAAGACUGCAAGGCUUGAAUCUGGCAGAGGGGGGUAGAAUUCCACGUGUAGCAGUGAAAUGCGUAGAGAUGUGGAGGAACACCGAUGGCGAAGGCAGCCCCCUGGGUCAAGAUUGACGCUCAUGCACGAAAGCGUGGGGAGCAAA